GACAGAGGAUGCAAGCGUUAUCCGGAAUGAUUGGGCGUAAAGCGUCUGUAGGUGGCUUUUUAAGUCCGCCGUCAAAUCCCAGGGCUCAACCCUGGACAGGCGGUGGAAACUACCAAGCUGGAGUACGGUAGGGGCAGAGGGAAUUUCCAGUGGAGCGGUGAAAUGUGUAGAUAUUGGAAAGACCACCGAUGGCGAAGGCACUCUACUGGGCCAUGACUGACACUGAGAGACGAAAGCUAGGGGGAGCAAAUGGGG
rnacentral:rRNA from 1 species